UGAAGCCAAAUGCUCAGAAGUGUUGUGAGGCUUGUGCCUCUGCAGAGAAAUUCUGCAAACUCAUGAGUAAUUCUCUUUAAUUCUUAUUUCCUUUUUCUUUUUCUUCAAAUUUGCUUUUGAAUAGUGAUAUAUUGAUAAUGAUGCUAGGUGCAUGAUACGCCUCUUCUGAGGCACAUCAUGCGCGGGCGAGCAUUUAUCUUCGUGGGGGUGGUGGCUGAGGAGGACAUGGCCAGCCACAAAAGUCGUCUUCAUCAUUUAGUUAAAUGAUUGGACACACCUUGCCUGGUGAUGCUGUCUGCUCAGAGCAGAGCAGAGGUGAAUGCUCUAUGGUCUCAGCACUGAGUGGCAGCUGAGUCUGCAGAGGUGCAGAUUUUGAAGGCUGUGGUUGUGUCUGAUCCUUCCAGAGCAGAGAUGUUAGAGAAAGAG
rnacentral:sRNA from 1 species